GCCAUUUAUUUAAUCAAGCUCUAAAUACAGCGCGUUCUGGAUCCAUGGUAAGAAGUGACGUCACGGUGCGAAGUGACAUUCCAGCCAUUUGCAUAUGACCGCCUCCAGCACAAGACAACUACGCUCAUUUCGUAUCGUUGUCACUCCGCGCGCCUCACAAGUGUUCAGUCGACGGACAGCGAGUUGGUCUGUGUACAGGAAAAUUACAAUGCCACGCAGAUGUGCUGUUCCUGGCUGUGGACAAACAACAUCUUUGAAUACGCUGCCGAAAGAUCCUAACGUCAGGGAAAAAUGGAUGCAGUUUACUUUUUGCGGAGGUCCCAGUCACGGCAGUGCUAAUUUAAGUGUUUGUUCUAUACAUUUUGAGGAUGACAAAUACCAAUAUGAUGCUGGCUUUGUCAAAAAACUGUUGCUCAAAGACAAGGCCGUGCCGACUAUUCUGUGCUCAACAACGACGACGCAAACUGUAAGUAAUGUAUUUAAAACUUUAAACUACUUUUUAAAACGCAAUUUCAUUCAUAAUGAAUAAUCACAGUGUUUUUACUUAGUUUACUUGCAUAUUGUUUUUCAGAGACCGCCAUGUUCACGCCCCAUAUCAAAAGAUGUUGGCUGUCAAACUGACCAACCCACUAAUACAUCAGUGGGCACACAGCUGUCGUUUCGAACCAUGAGACCCAAGUGUCGUAGCAAAGAAACACAAACGGAGCAGUUCUCAAUUCUUUCAAGUGGUGAUGUCGCCAUACCCUGGACUACUUCACAUCAUUUUACUUCAACACCUUUAAAAGUUGAAAAGCCUUCCAAAAGGUGUCGCUUUGAAUUGGAGGAGGAAGAAAGUGUGUCUUUUGAAGAAGUCUGUGACACUCAGGACGUAACAUGACCCUGCUCAGUCUGUCACCAGUGUGACUGAACCAUCAAAGCAUUCCAUGUACACAUCCAAAGCCUCUCAUGAAGACACCAAAUAUAUUGUGUUUGAAAACUGUCUUCUUGAACUGUUUGAGACCUGUCCAGUAUGUUCAAGAGCCUGCAAUAUUCAGCCUCGUAGCAAUGGGACUUUUUUGGCCAUUGAUCAACGUUGCCCGCAUUGUGAGUACUUCAGACAGUGGAAGAGCCAACCCUGAGUUGGCAGUACCCCUGUUGGUAACCUCCAGCUGUCUGCUUCCCUGUACUUCUCUGGAGCUUCAUUCUUCCAGAUGAAAAAGGUAUUUGAGUCAAUGCAUUUGAAGAUGUUCACAUACAGAACCUUCAGAAGGCAUGCCAGCAUGUACCUGGAACCACUUAUAAUAUAUAUGUGGAAGAAGGAACAGGUGGAUUUAGUGAAGGAUCUCUGUGAGGCGGACAAGGUGAUAAUUGGUGGCGAUAUGAGAGCUGAUUCGCCAGGCCAUUCAGCAAAGUAUGGGAGCUACACCACAAUGGAUCUUCAAAAUAACCUCAUAAUAGACAUCCAGCUAGUGCAAUAAUGAGGUCGGUGGUAGCUACCACAUGGAGAAAGAAGGGUUAAAACGAAGCCUGGAAUGGCUGGAGGAAUGUGGUGUAAGGCUAGACUGCAUUGUGACAGACAGACAUCUCCAGAUUCAAAAGUUUCUGAAAGAAAGAAAUGUCACACAGUACUAUGAUGUCUGGCAUUUGGAGAAAGGGUUGUCAAAGAAGUUAGAGCAAAUUGCCAGAGACAAGGACUGUUCAAUAGUGAAAAAGUGGCAGCACAGCAUAAGAAACCAUCUCUACUGGACUGCAGCAUCCUCUACAUCAGGACUAGAGAAGGUUCAAAACCACUUUACAGAGUCGAAAAGGUGCUGAUUAACAACAGAGUCCUCAAAGAUGUAGCAAAGCUCAGCCCUCACUUCCAGACCUCAUCCUUGGAGGCCUUUCACAGUGUUAUUUUACACUUUGCCCCCAAAAGUGUGGUAUUUCCUUUUAUUGGAAUGCUGUGCAGGUUGUAUUUGGCUGGCAUGCAUUUCAAUGAAAAUUCAAACCAUCCAAAGGCUACUACAUCAUCUGGAAAGCCAAUGUACAGACUUUUGUUCCCCAAGGAUAAAAAAGGAUUGUACACCAUAAAACCAGUGACAUCCAACCCAACGUACUGCUACGUCUACAAUCUGAUGACACUGCUUUUUGAAAAGGUUCUGCCAGAUCCUUUUCCCUACAUGGAGGAACUGCAUAAAAUUAAAGUGCCUGACAGUCUAUGCACACAGUAUGACAGACCUUCAUUGGUGGAGGCCAUUGCUGAGCACGUAUCAAGGUUUAGUCAAGGGGCAGUUUGAAUCCAACAUAGCUGCCUUCCGCAUCUGGGAAUUUUUGCCGUAUACACAAGACAACACAUGAUGGUAUUACAACCCUGAUCUUUCUGCCUAGAUAGCCCCAGCACCAACUGACAAAGCUUAUGUAAGCCAAAUGCCUGUAGCGCCUGAUGGAAACAGAGAAAAGACAUUUCAAAUUAUACAUUCAAAAGGUGUUUUGUAAAGUGGUGUGUGUGUGUGUGUCAAAACGAUUGUUAUUUGAACAUAUAUUUUGUUACAAUAAAUAUUUAUCCAUUUUAACAUAAAA